rnacentral:lncRNA from 1 species
CAUAUAGAUAUACAUACCGUAUCGGUUCCAGCAGGGCCUGGUGAAGAAGCGCCGAGGCUGGGAGUAGGGGCCUCAUUUGAUGGAGACGGUGGGCUGGAGGCCGAAGGUGAUAGUGCUGGAGACUUAGCUUUGGUCUUGCUAGGGGCCGGAGCUGGAACCGUGGCAGGAGGAGAAGCCAAAGGAGCUGGUGGUGGGGUAGCUGGAGGAGGAGUAGCAGGAGGGGGAGAAGCAGGUGGUGGGGUAGCCGGAGGUGGAGAAGCCGGUGGGGGAGUUGCGGGAGGUGGAGUAGCCGGGGGAGGAGAAGCUGGUGGUGGGGAGCUAACGGGCGGGGGAGUCGCUGGAGGAGGAGUGGAAACUGGUGGUGGUGAUGAAGUAGGAGGAGGAGAGGAAGCUGGUGGCGGAGAAGUAGUUGUGGGUGUUGGAGGUGGUUGAGUAGUAGGUGGAGGUGUGGAAGCGGGUGGAGUCGGCGGCGCCGGCGUGGAUGUCGGAGGAUUACUAGGAGUAGGAGGAGCUUGGCCUAAAACGCCAGCUACAGCAAUGCAAAACAAAGCUGAUAAGAACAAAAACUUAUUAUUAAGCAUCAUAUUGGAAACAAUGGUGACCCUUUAAUCCUGCACACCCUCUCCGCUUAAACUACGCCCAGCCGUGCAAGCAAAUGAGGGAGAAGAAGAGGCAAGUAUGAGAAAUGAAAAGAUGGUGAUAUUUAUAUAUAGGAUAUGGAAAUUUCCAUAUCAUAUUUCAAUUUAAAAUCCCCAAAACAAAUACCAGCAUUUUUAUUUUAUUACUAAUGGGAAAAUUGCAUUACUAAUCAUAUACAAUAUUCUAUAUUAAUUUAGUGUAAUUUAAUUCUUUCAUUUUUUUAUAAUGUUAUUAAUAGGUCCAAAAUCAAUAUCUCCGAUCGUUAGUUGCUGUCAUUAAAGUGAUGAUACGAAAUUAUUUUUUUUACUAUUAUUCCAUCAUACAAUCAGAGAUAUAGAAAUCAAUCAAUUUUGUUAAACAAAUAAUAAAUUUCAAUCUGAGUCAAAUGCUUAAAGUUGUUAAAAAAAAUUCACGUCAUCACUUUAACAACAUCAACUAAUAGCGUUAUCAAUUUGUACUUUGUAGCUACCAAUAACAUUAUAAAAAUAAAGGGUCAAAUUAUAUAGAAGUAAAGGAUUAAAUCUCUAAUUUCAAUUUAGUAAAGGGACUAAAAUGGAAUUAAACCUAUUAGUGGGGGUCGGAGUUUUUUCCUCGUUUGGUGAGGUAAAAAAAAAAAAAAACCCUAGUGGGGCAUAGUUAUAAUGUCACUUUGAUGAUUAUAAAUGAUGCGUUAGUUAGUCAUACUUUAGGUAAAAAACUGUGAGGUGGGAUUAGUGUAGAUUGAAAAUUUUUAGUGAAGGGGUUAAUUUAUACCUUCAAAAUUUUGCAAUAUUUGGUAGUUCCAUGAAAUAUUCCCCGCUAUUUAUCAACUUUUCAAUCACUCAAAUAGGUUUUAAUUUAGUUUUGUUGUGAAAUUUCUAAUUCAAGCAUACAAUGAGUAGAUUUUAUUAUGGGUCGGGUCGGGUUAUUAUAAAAUUUUAGGUGUAACGUCCCGAAUUUUUGGGCCUAGAAGUUAAAAGAUUUAAGCAUAGGGGCAGUAAGGAGGCCACACAUAAGUGAUUAGUUGUGCACUAUAGUGAUAAGAAUGGGCUUAUUAGUCUAGUGGUUAAAUGGAGUGUUAAUUAAGUUCAAGGUUUUUGGUUUGAGUCACUAUGUGUACAUUUUGGGAGUCUUUUUAUUUUGUUUUUUUUUAGUUAGUGAUAAUAAUUAAUUAUUUUAUUUUAUUUUUAUUAUUUUUCUUUUCUUUUCCACGUUAGUUCUCUCUACUUCUUGGUUUUUUUUUCUUUUUGUUCUUUUUCCUUGGACUUUCAAUUUGUGCAUUCUCUAUGUUUUUGAAUCGUUUGCUUACAGAUUUCGAAUUGUCGCACCUCUAUCGUCUUCUUCGUCGUUCAAUCAGGUGAGGGAUUCAAACUUUAACUACAUUGUUUAAUUUUGCAAAGUUUACGUGCGGCUUUUCUUGAAUAUGUGAUAACCCGAAGGUUUUUGGGUUUUGAUCGUUGGAAGUGAGGAAAAUACGUUAUAUUGUGAUAUGUUCUUGAUGUGGUUAAGGUUAGGGACAGUUUGGGUGGCUAAAACGGUGUUUUCGGGGCUAAUUUGGGGUGGUUUCAUGACCUCUCCGGCAGCUACACGGGCGUGUGCCGUGGUAGACAGUCAUAUGGAUUUGGGAACUAGGGUUUCCAGGCCAAAUUGGAUGCCACACGGCCGUGUGGCCGAUUUGGGGAUUUUGUCGAAAUUCACACGGCUGUGUCCCCUAGGCACAUGGGCAUGUGGGUUUGGAAUUAGGGUUUCAGAGAUUUGAAGUCACACAGCCUGGCCAUACGGCUGUGUGGCUGAUUUUGGGAUUUAGGGAUCCCACACGAGUGUGUGUUUCGUAACACACAACCAUGUCUAGUUGGCACACGGGCAUGUGAGACCCUCACAUAGCCGUGUCUGCCCUGCACCUUAUUUUAGCGAAAUUGGACAGUGAGUUACACAGCCUGUUCACACAGUCGUGUCUCUGCUUCGCACGGGCGUGUGCCUAUGUCACAUGGCCGUGUGCUAUCCUUCACAAGGGCGUUUGAAGCCUCACACGAUCUGGAUUGCUCUACACGGCUGAAGCAUACGGGUGUGUAGCCCUAUCUCGCCAAAUAAUGAUUUUAGGUCAAAUUUAAGUGCAAUCGUGACUCUAUGUAUUCCAACCCUCGACUGAGCUCUAGUGAGGGUAUUUACGACGCUGAUCUGAGUUUGGAUAAUGUGUUAAUUGUGAUUGGUUAUGUGACAUGUUUGAUUCUGAACCCGGGUUAGCUGGGUGAGUGUGUAUGCAACUAGUUCUGUCUGACUGUUUGAAUACGUGUCAUUGAUAUGCGAGCUUAUUUUGCAAUUGCUACUGAAUUCAAGUUACGAGUAUACUUAAGACUAAUUUUGUAACUAACUGAUUGGAUGUGAGCGUCUACUUCUGAAUAAUUGUUUGAGACUAGUAUUCUGAUUGUGUACAUCUGACUGCAUACAUACAUACAUAUGCAUAAACUAUUUUGGGCGGGAUUUUUGAAGAGAAGGUGUUGUAGGCCAAUUUUGGGCCCGUUUACACUUUAGGCCGAACAUACAUCAAACCCAUUUACAAUUAAACCCCAGCAUAACCCACAACCCAAACCCAACAAAUAAACCCAAAACCAAACCCAAAUUUAACCCAAUUCAAAUCCCAUAGACCCAAACCCACAUGUAAGCCCAAGUUGUUAGACCCAACUAGCUUGAUUUAGGGUUUCAAAAAAACUGAAACCCUAACCUACCCCCAGCGCCGCCAACGUCACAUCGCCCAUGCCAGUCCACUUGCACUACCUUUGCUCCACUGUUCAACCACCACCUGCAAAACAAAAGAGCACGCAACAGCAGCGCAAAAAUAGGAAAUAGACAGUGUAUGAACAACAAAAUCGGCUAUAAAGCCGAAUGGAAACCAAUGUAAUAGAAAAUAUUUUCGGUUAUUUUCUUCAUCAAUACAAAAAAAUAGAUUUAAACAUAUACAAGCAAUAAUUCGGGGAAAAUCAAAACACUAGAAUAACACCAAUUGGGCAACCAAAACAUCAAUAUCAAAAGCCUAAGGUGAUUUAAAUCUUUUUAUUUUUAUUUAUUUUUGAAUCAUACAUACCUAUGUAUUUUCAUAAAUAGUAUAAUAAAAAGGAAAAUAAAAGAAUAAAAAAAAGAUAGGAAAUUUUUACCUUUUCCGGCCACCGUGCGACGGUGGCACACGGCGGUCCGGCAACCAGACGUGGACGGCGACCGGCCUUGUGGCCGGAAUUCGCCUCUCCUUCUCCCCUCUCUCUUUUUUUUCUUUGCUAUGCAGAAAAUGAAUUUUUUUUGAAGAUUUUGGCCUUUUUAUAGCUUCCUAAAACGACGUCGUUUUGGGGGUUGCCCUUUAACCUCAAAACGACGUCGUUUUGCCCUGGAUCAGGUCGACCCGACCCUACCCACUCAGGAUCUGAGUGUUUUUGCUCUUAGGGGCUAAUUGCGCACGCGGUCCUUCCGCUUUUUCUAUGUUUUUCAAUCAGGUUUUUUAUGUAUUUUAAUUUGGCCCUAUAAUUAGUUGCGCUUUCCAAUUUGGUCCUCAAUGCUAUUGCGCAUUUUGGGUGGAGAGGCUUAUUUCGUUUUAAGUCCCUCCACUAUUUGUGCGCGUUGAAAUAGGUCCCCUUCCCUUCUUUUUAUUUCAGUUUUUGCCCCAAGCCUUUUAUUUUUAAUUCGAUUCGAUCCUUUUUUUAAUUACUUUAUUAUUAAAAUUAAUUAUUUUAGUAUUAUUGUUAUUAGCACUAUUCAUGUACAUAUAUAUUAUCAUUAUUGUUACUAUUACUAUUAUUAAUCUUCAUAUUAUUACUAUUAUUUCUUUAUUUUUAUAUUAUAUUAUAUUAUAUUAUUAGUUUUUACUAUUAUUAGUAUUAGUUUUAGCUUCAAUUAAUAUUUUUAACAUGCAUAUUUAUAUACUUUUAUGUAACAUUAUUAAUAAUUAUUUUUUAAAAUAUUAUUAUUAUUUUUUAAUACAUGCAUAUAUAUUAUGUGUAUAUUCUUUUAAUAGACAUUAUGUAUAUAUAAUUUUAUAUAUUAUUUUUAACUUUACAUUAUGUAUAUAUUGUUAAUAUCAUAUUAUUCAUAUAUUCUAUUAUAUUAUAUAACUAUAUUAUGUAUGUAUUUUUAACACUAUAUUACGUACAUACUUUCAAUAUCAUUAUUAUUAUGUAUAUAUAUUUUUAAUAUAUAUAUGUGUAUAUUUAUGUAGUAUUAUUAAUAGUUGUUUUUAAUAUUAUGAUUAUUUCUAGUAUAUAUAUAUUAUGUAUAUACUUCUAAUACUAUAUAUUGUAUAUUUCUAAUACCAUUAUUAUUUAUAUGUGUAUAUGUGUAUGUAUUUAUGUAUCGUAUUAUAGUUGUUGUUUUUUUUGUAUCAUUAUUGUUGCUAAUAUAUAUAUAUCAUGUAUAUAUGAUUUUUUUUAUAUAUAUUAUGUAUAUAUCUUUAAUAUUAUAUUAUUUAUAUAUUUAUGCUUACAUAUUAUCUUACGUAUAUAUUUUUAAUAACUAUAUUAUGUAUAUACUAUUACUAUAUAUCUAUUUAUGUUGCAUUAUCAAUGGUUGUUUUUACUAUUAUUAUUAUUCUUAAUAUAUAUAUUAUGUAUACAUUUUUAAAUACUAUAUUAUAUACAUAUAUUUUUAAUACCAUAUAUGUACAUAUCAUUAUUAUAUCUAUUUUUACCCCUAUUACAUUUGUUAUUAAUAUUAGUAUAUAUUUUAUUAUACGUGUAUAUAUAUACUUUUUAAUAUAGUAUUAUUUUUAUAUAUCAUUAUAUUUAUUAUUAUACUUAUUAUUUUCGCUAUUGUUACUUAUUAUUUUAUUUUAAUAUUAUUGUGUAUUAUUUGGUAUACAUAUAUCUUUUUGUACAUAUUGUUAUUUUUUAUUAUACGUAUAUUAGUUUAUUAUGGUAUUAAUACAUUUUUACCUUUUUCUUUUAUUGUAAAUAUUAUUUAUUAUUACUCUAAUAUCCUAAUAUUAUAUUAUAAUACUUUUUAUUAAUCAUCUCAUUAUUUUGCAUCGUUUAUUUACUUAUGAAUUUUUGUUAACAUCAUCAGUUUUUUUUUAUCAUUAUUUUAGAAACAUUUUUAUUUUAAUAAAUAAUGCAACGUACCGAUUUUAACAUUAAGUUUGUGAUUUCAUCGCUAUGUUGGGUGAAUCACGUUGGCUCGUGUUAAAAACGGGACAUCCUUCAAAAAAACCAAAAACUUGAAAUUUCUCGUGUCUUGGUCGGAUCAUGAUUAAAUAUUAAAUUAAACUUGUAUUUUUGAAAAUUAAGACAACGCGUAAUUAACAAGAUACUAAUUUUGGGCGUCGUGAGGGUGCUAAUACCUUCCUCGCGUGUAACCGACUCCCGAACUCUAUUUUCCUCUGGAUUUUCACGUAGACCCAAAUUCGGCCUUCAUUUUUGUUCAAGAAUAAAUUUUCUUUUCUAAAAAGAAGAUUUAUUAGGUGUCUGAUCACACCUAGAAAAAAGAUCGGUGGCGACUCCUUUUCUUUUUAAAACCGAAAUUCCAUUUUCAAAUAAUCGCCUCAACUAGCGACCGGAAAGUGAAAUUUUUACGUUGCUACAGAAGGAAGAUUGACUGAACUGAACUGAUAGCUAAUAUGUUGCCCCUAAUACCCAGAGGGUCAUGGGCGGUCCCAAUACCCUGAGGAUCGUGGUUAAUUUGACUGUACUGCGGACUAUCGCACUGUACUGUACAGAACAUACAUCAGCACCGCUGCUAUCAUUGACUAAACUGGCAAUUUUACUGCAACCUAACGAUAUAGCGGUCUACCGCAUUGCAUUGUACCGCAUGUACGUUAGCUACGCUACGUACUAUUAUCUGAUCUGGCAGUUCAUACUGCAUGUCUGUACCGCGGUUCACCGCAUUGCACAGUACAACCUAUACGCUGGCUUUCCUACGUAAUUUACGUGACUAGCAGUUUAUCUGCAUACUGUUAGCCCAAAUUCCCAGAGGGUCGAUGGCAAUCCCAAUACCCUGAGGGUCAUGGACAAUGCUGAUGAUCAUCGUUGUCGGGUAACCCGGGAUGACAUCAUAUGGGGUGUAGGGUUGGAUGGGCUUUGCGAGGUCCUGUAUGGAGUGUUUGGUGGGACAAGCUUAAAGCUUUUAUGAGAAGUGAUGGGGGACGGAGAGGUGUGUUGGCUGGAUAGGUGGAUAUUUUUAGAACUCAUUUGUACUCAUAUGUAUCUGAUUGAUCUGUUUAACUGAAUUGGAACUUGUGAAUGGUUGAGAAUUAUUGCUACUGUGACUGAAUGUGAUACUGUUCGAUUGAGAGGCACUUGUGCCUAUGUGAAUUUUGUAGAUUCUGAUUGCGACUGUCUGACUGGAUUCUUACUGUGACUGAUUAAGAUUUGUUGCUACUCUGUCUGAGUGGUACUUGUGGCUGAGUGUAUCUAACUGAUUGAGUUAAAACUAGUGGCAGAAUAGCACUAUGUUUGUGUAGCUGAGUGUAAUUUUUAAUAUGCAUUAACAAAUAUCUGUCUGUCGGUACGUCCGUUUCGAACGUACCCUUUGGUUCUGAAUAGCUCUGUAAGUAUGUUUUAUUUCUGAACUGCUUUUAGUUCCCUGUUUCUGUCUCUGUAGUUUAACUGGUUUGAUCUCAAACUGAGCUCGAGUAGCUCACCCCCUCUUUCGUUUCCCUUUUCAGGUACAAUUCUGGAUUAUGUUGAUGGACUUGGCACGCGAAGGUCUCAGACAGUCUCGCAAACAAAUAAAUUAUCAGUUUUGUUUUCCGUUACGAUUUUGUUAUUUGGUUAACUUUGAACUGUAAGGCUUUAUAAUACUGUGGUACAGUUUCCAUUUUAGAUUUUCAUGCAUACGUUUAUUUUGGGUUUUAUAUUGAGUCUUACUGUAAAUUUUAUUGACUGAUUAUUAAAUGGUUUUAAACACUUUUGGUUCACUGAGAUGAGUUAUUUUGUAAAAUUUUCCUACGAUCACUUCGGUGAUCAAUGUAGCAUUCCGAAUUCGGUCUAGACUUUUAGGCCGAGUUUGAGGUGUUACAUUAGGUUUAUUUUUUAGGUUCUAAUUUGACUCGAAAAAUAGGUCUAAAAUUUUAACUAAACCCAGUUUAGAUAAAAAUAUUAAACCCAAGUCCAAACGUAUUAAACUUUUUAUAUUAUUAUUUAUAAAAAAACAAAUUUAAAAAAUAUAAUACAUCAAAUACACUAAAAAUAUUAAAAUAGAUGUUUCCUAAUAAAUUGAAAAUACAUUAAAAAAGUUUUUAUACUUAACAAGCAAAUGCCUUUAAAAUAGUAGCAAAAUUAACAAGCCCAUGAUUAGGUCUAAUGAUGAGUUCUUUUGUUAGUAAUGUUUAUUUUGGUAUUUGAGUUUUUUCUGUCUUAAUUUGGUACUUAAUUUUGACUUUAAUUUUUUUCCAAUUAAGCACUUAAGUUUGGCUUCAAUGUUCAAUUUGGUACCUAAUUUUUUUUGUCCAAAUUAAUUACCUAUAUAUUUUUUACCAAAGCAUGUGUGUCAAACAUUUAUUGGAUCAUAUGAUGACAUUUGGCUUAGGUAUCAAAUUGAAUAUCAAAUUCAAACCUAAGUACUAAAUUGAAACAAAAAACACAAAUACUAACUUAAGUAUUAAAGCUAAACUCAAGUAUCAAAUUGUAUAUUAAUCAUUGGUAAACAAAAUUUCAAGGAUUAGCAUCUACUAAGCUUUCAUUUUCCCUUUUGCAUGUUACAAUUGAUAUUUGUUUAACGCAUAAACUUGGUAUCUUUUUUCCCGUAAUGAUCCAUUUUCAACAAUUUUUGUACACCUAUAUUAAAAUCUGAAAUAAUUUGGUUAUCUUCAACAUACAUAAAGCUGUUAUAUUAAAGUUUAUUUAUAGUUGAGAUUUUUAAAGGAUUUUUAUAAGAUAUUUUUUACACAUUCUUUCCAUGACAUUAAGGAGUAGGGAAGAAAACGUGGUAGUGUUAAAAGGAUCAGUUCAUCUAAACAAGCGGAAAGUCAAAAUAAGAAACAAAUUAAGGAGGAGUAGGGGACUCACACAUCCAUAACAUAUGCAUAUGUUAAUAUUAAAAAUUUACACAACGCAAUUGUAAAUGGUGAGACUUGGACUUCGAUACUUAAAGACCCAAGAUAUCGCCUUAACCAAUAAUGUCAACAAGAUCUCAUUAACUUUUUAGGAAUUUUCUUAACUUCACAUAUAGGGAUUAAAAAAUUACGAUAUAACUCAAUAUAAUAUUAAAGAGUAAAAGUUAAUCAAAAUUUACAUAUAUCACUCAUUUAAUCAUAUGUGUACAGAUAAAAGGAAGCCACUCAUCCUCUUGCCAACCCUACGUGUAACAUAAUUCACUAUAAAUUCCACCUACAUAUACAUACAUACAUAAAUAUAAAAGAGAAUUUCAUGGUCUUGGACUAGAUUGGCUACAAAAUUUGACAAACGGCAUGUGUAGGAGGAUUAAAUUCGAUGAAUUGCAUGAGAGUUUCUCCUUUUUGAUAAUUUAGUACAUGAGAGAAUAAUGAUGAUUGUGGGGGGGGGGGGGUGCUCCAUCGAAAUAGCUGGAAUUUAUUUAUUUUAGUGAACUGGCAAAUGUAAUUUGUACGCCAAGUUAUAAGGUGAAAAAGGGAGAAAUCAUAUAGAUUUGGUUGGUAAUGGUAUGUUGAUGUUGGAACACCUGCGGUGCACCGCCACAAUUAGUAGGCCCCUAGCCCCGCUGUCACCCCAUCAUAUGUGCUUUUGGAUGGAUCCAACAUUUUCGUGUUCUUUCAUUCUUCAACAUCAUCAUUAUUAAUUAGUUACUCUUCAAUUUCUAUAUGUAAUUUGCUUUCUUUUCAUUCAUAGGUUUUCUGUUUUCUGUCUUUGAUUUUGUCUUGUGCACAACUGAUGUCCUCCAUUUUUUUCCCCUUUUGUAGAAUUGGGUUUGUCACUUUAAUAGUGCCCGAAAUUAUUUUAUGGAUUUUUUUCAUCAUAUCAUUUAUAAUCUAUUUUUAGUUAUUUAAUGAUAUUUUAGUAAUUUUUUUAUGUUAUUGACACAUAAUUUUACUAAUUUUUUUACCCAGAACCCUCAAUCUUGAGUUUAGAAUCUUGAACCCCGAACCUUGAACCCUAAACUCAAACAUUAAACUCCAAACCUAAACCUUAAAUCUUGAAACCCUCAAGGUUUAGGUUUGAGGUUUAAGUUCAAAUUCAAGUUUGUAGUUCAGGGUUCGAGGUUUGAAAUUUAAGGUUCGGGUUCAGGGUCAGAGUUCAACAUUCAGGAUUCUAGGUUUGGGGUUUAAGAUAAAAAAAAAUUACCAAAAUUAUAUGUCAAUGACAUGAAAAAAAAAUUACUGAAAUGUCAUUAAAUAAUUAGAAAGGGACCAUGGAUGAUGUGGUGGGAAUGGUCCAAAAAUAAUUUCUCAUUUGUAUGGGAUAUUAUUCAUUAUCUAUUAUAAUUUGAUAUCUCUAUUUUUAUAAUAUUAUUAGGGGAAAGGAUUGUAUGAAACAGUGACGCCAUGUCAUCUGUAUCCCUUUCCAAUAAUUUUAUGCCAUAUCAUUACUUUUAUCCUCAAUUUCAGGAUUUUAUCCUGAAAAAAAUCAAAUCCAAAUUAAAAUCCUGAAAUUCAGGAUAAGAAUAUUGAUGUGGCAUAAAACUAUUGGAAAGGGAUACAGAUGACGUGGCGUCACUGUUUCAUACAAUCCUUUCUCUGUCCAAAUUUAUAACAAUGUUGAUUGCUUCACUAAAAUGAGAAGGUCCAAAAGAGUUAGAAGAUGUUAUUGAGAUUAAUAAAGGAGUAAUUUAUUUCGAGAUAGAUUAAUAUAAUUUAUUUGUGUUUUUUAUUUAAAAAAAAAAGUAAAAGGACGUAGUAAAGGAAUUUUCAUGCAUCAAUAAUUUAUUAUUUAAACUAUGAAAUUUCAAAAAAGAAGAAAUUCAUGUUGAAAUUGAUACUAUCAAGCAAUUUAAAAGUGUAAAAAUUUCAGUAUCAGCUGGAUAUUUAAUGUCAAAUAAACUAAAGAAAUGAGAAACACAAGCCAAUUGUCCACAAUGAUUAACUUGUUCCUAAAAAGAAAGUUGUACAUAGACUUUGCUUAUAAAUCAAUCCAAUUUUUUUUUAUAUAAAAGGAAACAUAUUACAUACUUAUAUUGAGUUAUUUGUACCACAACCCACUUAAAUUAUGAUUUUAAUUUUCGAUUGAGUCUUAGUUCAAUUGAUAUUGGCAUUAUUAUCUGUGGAGGAGUGGAUUCAAGUGCGCUGAAACGCAUUAUCCUUCUAUUUAAAUGUUGGGAAGGAACUAUAGAUUCGAAAGCAGAUAUGAUAAGAACCUAUAAUAAAAUUAAUGUAAUGCCUCCUUUUUCCUUUAAAUCCUACUUAAAACACACUUACUUAUUAUUUGCUAAAAUAUUGACAAAUCUAUAAUUUGAAUUCGAACAUUUAUAAUUCAAUCUUGGUCCCUUUAAUACAAAAAAUGUUGGCUUCACCCUUGAUCAAUUUAGUCAUCAAGUUUUUUUUUUUUAACAUAAAUUUCAAUAUAGAUUCUUAUCAUAUUAGCUCUUUUUGAUACAAUGCUUAUAACUAUCCAUAGCCCUUCCCCAAUCAUUAAAUAGUAGGAUAAUACACUUUAACGUAUUCGAAUCCACAUCCUCUUCUACUGACAACAAUGUCAAUCAAUACAAUUUUAAAUACGAGUGUACUACUUAGAUAAUCAUAUCCAAGGUACACAUACUUUUAAAAUUUGAUCCACACACUUUAAAUAUACCCCACCUCUGAUCUAAUCUAGCAUUUAUCACCUAAGCUGACGGUUAGAGGAACAAAAGAACUUGAUUGAUAUAAUAUCAAUAUUUUAUAGACUCAAUCGUACCAUAAUUAUGGACGUUUUCGCUGAGUUAACUCUAUAUCUAAAUAAGUCAUGGUAAACAUUCAAUAUUAAAAAAGAUAAAGGGAAAGUAUAAUAACCCAAAACACCAAAUUUUGGUUGGUUUAAUUUGCAGCUUUAACCAAUGCUUUUGCAUGAUCCAUCAAUUAGUGAGGAUUUUGAUCUUAAUUGGAGGGUCCCAUUCGGUUAUUAAGCUCUUUUUCCACCCUCAUGAUUGCCAUAACAUGGGCCCUUACCGUUUUACUUUGGAUACCCUUUUAUCUUUGCUUUGCUUUGCUUUGAUUUAAGGUUUUAUACAUAAAUGGUCACUUAAACUAUACCUCAAUUUUUAGAUUUGUCCUUAAAGUUUUUUUUUUAUCAAGAGUGGCCCCCACACUAUCAAAUUUAUCUCAUUUUACCCAAAAAGCGUACAAUAUCCAAUAAAAAUAUUUAAAAUGUGACGCGUGUCACAUUCUUAUUGGUUAAUAUCAUUUUUUGAAUAAACAAAAAUAAAAUUAACAGUUUAGCGAUCACUUUGACCAAAUAAAAAAGUUUUAAGGACUACUUUAGGAAUUUAGAUAUAACUUAAGAGUUAUUUUAUUAAUAAAGCUUUGAUUUAUUCAUCAAUUAACACUGAAAGAGUUUUCCUUAAUUUACUCAAAUGGUCUUUUUGUUUGUAUCACCUAACAUUUUGAAGAACAUCCUUUCUCUGUGUACCUCAUACAAUUCGUUAAUACGAAAAUUUUAUGAUUUUUUUAAAAAUAAAUUUAAUUGUCACGUUGCAGGUUACAAAUACUUUUAAAUAAGGGCUUUUUUCAUACAAGAAUACCAAUUAAAAAAUAUCUUCAAAGGUAUAUCAGUUAUACUCAGAUCAAAAUGUUUAAACUUAAUUUAUCUAAUUUCUUCGGCAGGGACCUAACCCAAAAUUGGUAAAAUUAAAAUUAGAUCUUUAUAAUUUUGAAGCAUUAAAAUUGAAUUUUUUUUAAAUUGUAAAAUUAUAAAUUUAGCCCCUAAAAAAAUUAUAAUUCAACUUCAGCCUCUAAAAUUUUUUCCUCUAACUUCAUCUCCCCAUAAUUCAAUAUAUUUAAAAAAAUUUGUGACUGACAUUACCAACAAAAAAUAUAUUUAUAAUUAGUAUUUAAUAUACAAUUAAUGAAAUGUUUUAAUUCUAUAAGCAAUGUUCAAAAUUUUCAUAUAUCUCAAUUUUUAAUAUUUUUUUUAUUAAAUCAUGAAUGAAAUAUAUAUUACCUUUCAGAUUUUACUUGUAGAGUCUAAUAACUAUAUGACGCAUUAAAUCAUUAUACAUAUAUAAGGUCAAGUGGUCCAUAGGUAGCUUAGAGUACAAGGGAUUAAGUUGAGGGUCUCUUAUCAUUUUCCCCAAAUGUGAAGUGAUGUUAACUGCUUAGCUUUCUCCUCUUGCCCCAUUCAUUUUCCUUCCUUUCCACAAUAUAUAUUGUAUAAGUAUUUAUGGGUAAUCGAUUGAGUAUUUACUCGAUUAAUAUGAGUAUUAAUGUCAAUAGAGGAGGACGUAGAUUUGGCGCAUUAUUCUUCUAAUCAUGGGUUGAGAGGCUAUGAGUAGUUUUAAAUAUUAUGUCCAAAAAAAACAGAUAUGAUUAGAACCUAUAAUAAGAUUAUUUAAAAAAAUAUUUAUGGGUAAUCAGUUUAUACAAUUUCGAUUAAAUGUAUAAAUCCAAUCAUUAAUCAUUAAAUUGUUUUACUUUAUGCCAUAGUAUUGUUUUAACUGCAUAAGCAUGUGGGUUAAUGAAAACUACUUAUAGUAUCUCAAUUAAAUGUAAUCAACAACCUCAACUCAUAUCUCCCAUCUCUCUCACUCUCAAUUAUAUAACCUAUUAAUAAUUAACAUUAAUAACCCACUUUCAAGUAGAUCUCAGGCUACCUGCCAUGCCAAGCCUAAAGCUUAUAAGAUGCUUGAAAAGGUUUGCACAAAUAUACAAGAAUAAGUAGGAUAAUGGUUUGGGCAAAAAUUAAGCUUAAUUAUUUAAAUUAUAGAUUAAAUUUAUCGAUAAAUCAUGUUAAGCGUAAUGAUAAGAUAUAUUAUACUCUUAAGAAAAGAAUGUAGAUUCAAAUACUAGAAACGAUAUUGUUAGGAAAAGUAAUCACAAAUCUCAAACAUGAAUCAUAAAAUAAACAUAUAAAAUACUAAAAAAAAUCGAAUUUAAACUCAUUUAAAAUUGUUGAAACAUGGAUAAUUUAACUCAAUAUUGCAACAGGAAUUUCGAUAUAGUUUCUAUAAAAUUUAGUGUUACAAUAUGAUUUCCCAUAGAAGUGUGAUAAAAUCAAUAAUGUUGACUUGUAUUAUUGCAUUAAGUAGUGCAUGAAAUGUAGGAUUCUAUUGUAAAAGAGAAUUAGAUAAAAUUGUAUAAAGUGCAUACUAAAAACUGUUUUGGAGGCUUUAAAGAAUUCUAUUCGCUUAAAAGGUAAGAGUCUACUUCAUCAGCUAAGGUUUACAAUGUAGGGUAAGUGUUCAAUCGAAUUAAGUGAAAAAAUUUUGAGUUUAUCGAGUUGAUGAGUCCUAUUUUAUCAUACUAACUUGAUUUGAAAUUUUCUCGAAUCGAGUCGAGUAAAAUGAAAUUCAAGCCAAAUCAAAUCAAGUGAAAUUAUUUGAGUUAAAUUAAAAAAUUAAACAUGUCAAAUUAAAAUCUUGUUAUAGUAUAACUAAUUUUAUGUUAGAGCACAUAAAUUUGAAAUCACAUAUAUUUGAAAACUUUUUCAAAGUAAAAUAAGAAAAAAAAUAAUUUAAUAUAAUAAACUUAAAUUAUUAAUUAACUUUUAUUUAAGUCCCCAAAAUUAUUAUUUUAAAAAAAAUUAAAUUUUUAACUUUCUUUAUAUACUUUAUAAUUUUUUUAAAAAAAUAUAAAAUUUGGAAUUUUUAUAAAUAUUUUGAAUUUUAAAAAUUAUUAUGAAAAUUUUGAAAUUUAUUUUGUAUUUUUUGUUGAAAGAGAUCAAUUUGCUUUUUUUUUUAAAAUUAAUAGGGACCAAAAGGGGUAUUUAUACCAAUCUAUUAUUCGAGUUAUUCGAAUUGUAAAAUUCAACUUGACUUGAACUCAGAACUCGAAUUACUUAUUCGAUUUAAUUCGAAAAAAUUGAAUAAGAUUCAAUUAACUUAGAAUUCGAUUUUUAUUUUAUUUUUUUGAUCAAAUCGAGUUUUGUUCACCCCUAAUAACUUGUUAGCAACUUAUGCAAGAAUUUUUUAAUUUUAAAAUAAAAGCUAAUAAGAUUAUUUUAUCUUGAUAUUAAAUGCUAUUUAUACAACAUAUAAAAGAUGGUGGAUACACACAGUUGGGGUAGACUUUUUGAGUGUUUCAUUUUUCGGGUUGAGGGAAUAUUUUGCAAGGUAAAUACACCUUGAUACCCUAGGUAUUAUUUGGAGAAUUUUAUUCACUUGUAUGCAAAGAUGUUUGCAAUAUGUGAUAAUAUUUUGGGAGAUUGGAUGCAAACAAUUGCAUACUAGUGAAACUACUUUUUAUCUACAUUUUGCAAGAUAGAUACAUUAUAAUUAGAGGUGUCCAUAAGUCGGAUUGGAUCCAAUCAAAAUUUUAUACCCAUUUGUCAGGCUAAAAAUAUUAAAAUUCGAGUCCCAUCUGGCCCGUUCGUAUUAAUUUUUUUAUAUAAUUUUUUAAAAUAUAUAUAAUACAUCAACAAUACUAAAAACAUUAAAAUAAAUGUUAAAAACAUUAAAAUAAAUGUUCCCCAACAAAUUGAAAAUAAAUUUACAAAUUGAUUAAUAAAUUUUAAAAAAAUAUGUAUACUUAAAUAACACUAAGAUAUGUAUAACUUAACAAGCAAAUACCUCUAGAAUAGUAACAAAAUUAAAAAUAAAACAACAGUAAUACAAUAUCCAAAUAAUAACAAUAAAAUAGUAGCAAUAUAAUUGUGAAAUGGUAGCAAAAUAAUGAAAAAGAAGAAGAAAAAAAAGAAAAAAAUUACAAUUCUUUUAUUUUGCAUAUUCGGGUCGGCUAUUUUCUAAACGGACCUUAUUUUUCAGCCAAAAAAGUCUUACCUGAGGCUCAACCCGUUUUCUAAACAAGCCUUAUUUUUUUGCCUAAACACAUUUUUCGGGCCUAUAUUUUUAUCCAAACCCUCCCACUUUUCAGGUCGGGCCACAUGUACAGGUUUAACCAUGAUAUAUUAGGUAUUAUUAUAAACUACUAAAUACUAAAUAAAAAAUAACAUUUAAAAUUAAAAAAAUGAAAAGAAAAAAAAACUUAAAUGAAUAUAUACAAUGUAACAAGGUACAUAAACCUACAUUGUGACAAGUGUCGCAACUUUAUUUUUUUAUUUAAUUUCUAUAUUGUUUAUCUAUUAAAUAAAAUUAAAAUAAUUUAAACACAAUUUUAUCUUAAUGUAUUACAAAAUUUAAUUAAAAUAAAUGAAAAUUGUUAUUUGGAAUAUAUGGAUUUUAAAAAUAAUAAUAAUUUUCAUUUAAAUAAAUUUUACAAAUAAUAUAUAAUGCUGAUUAUAUAGUUUUAAAUAAUAUUUUAAUAUAUGAAUUGUUAUCUACAUAUUUAUUUAAAUAUAUUACAAGAAUUAAAACUAUUUAAUAACAUAUUCAUCAUAAAAUAAAACGAGAAUUAUAAAUUAUUAUUAUUAUUAUUUUAAAAUAUUUAUUUAAAUAAAACUAUAUGAGCAUAGGUUGUAACAUUCUACAUAUUUAUAUAGGUAAACCAUCAUGAUAAAAACUAUUAUCAUAAAAUUUUGCACUUUUUAUUAUAUGAUAUGUAUAAAAUAGUUCAAUUAGAUAUGAUUAAUAAUAAUAUUUAUGCUCAUAAAAUUAUCAAAUUAUAUAUUACAAUGUAUUUAUAAUGGCUCAAAUAUUAAAUAAUGGUUUACGGGUUGUAAUAUAUAAUAGUUCAAACAUAUUAUAAAUUUGAAAUAUAAUAUAUAUUAUAUUGAAUUAUUAUUAAUAGUAGAUAAUACUGUUAUAAUAAUUUAUAGUAGUAAAAGUAAAGGGUGAGCUAACAAUUCAGUGUGUAACUCAAUCCAAACAAUCAGCACAAAUACAGAUACAGUAACAAAGAUGAAUAUAGAUACAGAUAUAAAUCCUACUUCAUCCACUACACACCAUAUUUGUUCAUCCCUAGACAUCAAUUAGAGUAUUAAAUACUCAUGCAACCUUACCCACCUAGAAGUGAGCGUAUGUCACUUUUCAGAACAGUGCAAUCAAGCUACCAGAAAUAAUGUAAUAAUCCGCCAGAAUUAGAUAAGUGUGGUCAAGCCAUCAGAACAAAUAUGUGGUUUAAACCACCAGAUAAGACAGAUCAUUAAAUUGUUAACACUUCCUCCAUCAUAUUAUUAUCCCACCUUAAUGCAUAUGCAAACAUUAAUCAGGUAACAAAUGCAUAUAUAUCAUACACGCUAUACGUAUCAGAAUAUACUAUCAUGCUUUUAGAAAUUGCACAAACAGAAUAUUAGAUUUCAUAUCUAUAAGUCAUACAUAACACAUUAUGAAACCUACAAAGUGGCUAAUCUCGAAUCGUACUUUAAAUACGGCCUAACUAAAUUUUAUAGAAAAUGAGCACACAUGCCCAUGUGACCCACACGGUCUGGCACACGGCCUCACACAUACUCAUGUGGCCCACAUGACCCACUUAACUUAGCCCAUGUGGCUCACAUGGUCGUGUGAUUUACACGGUCUGGCACACGGCCAUGUGGUGUCGACAAUGAAUUUUUUGGCUUCGCAUCGUUCAUUGUUUUUCGAGAUUAUCAUUACAGACUUGGUCGUUUUUCGAUACUAACACCACGAAAAAGAUUCCAGAACUUAAAACAACAUUUAACACGAACAAUUUAGCAACGAUACACUAAAUAUAAUCCAUUAAUUCAACCACAACCACUAACAUUAGGCCUUAACAAGCUGGAAAUCAGUCUUUUGGGCAUUCGAUUACUUACCCAGAACAGUAGUGACAGUCCUAAAAAUCUCCUAAUUCACUAGAAGGAUGUCACAUGCCUCACAAACUUCUCCUAUUGAAACAUCAAAACAAUCAAAAAAAUGAAUAUUGCAUAAUACUACAACCCCUAUUCGUCAUACGGAAACGAAUUAACCUUACCGAAGAAUGCACUUACAAGACUUACACUUAAACAAAAAUAUGAAUUCUUUGCUCGAACACGGCGCUACGGUGAUUACAUGCAAGAAAAUCAAUACCACAAGGAUUUAAACAUUGGACCUCUAGGUAAGCUGAAGUUUUACCACUAAAUCAACAAGCUCAUUCUUAUCAUUAAUUUAGCAAAAAUAAUAUAUAAGCUUAAUAUCCAAAGUCGGUGGUUGGGACAAAAAUAACAAAAAUUUAAAUGAAAGAAUUUGAACCUAGAACAUCACACACACUAACACAACACAUAACCAAUAAACUAAAUUAAUCACUUUAACAAUAUUUAACAAUUCAAAAAUAAGAAUUUUGAGACGUUGCUAAAUUGUAUCAUAUAUCAUAUAUCAAACUUACGAUACAUCAUUCAUAAAAAUUAUAACAAACUUACGAAAGGAUUUAAUGAUAUUUAAUUCUUAACGGGUAAAAACUUAUAUCAUAUAUCAUAUAUAUUUAUAUAUUAAGAAUUUGAAUCAUUAAUUAUAUAUCUAUAUAUUAUAAUAGUUUCAUCUUUCAAAUUUUCUUCCUCAUAAUUAAAGCAUAAGUUAUAUUUAUAAUAUCAUAAAUAUAUUAUAUUUCAAAAAUUUACACACAUAAUCAACCUAUACAUCGCUCGUGAUAAGAAAACUAAUUUAUAAAUAUGAAUGUACAAAAUUCGAGCUAAAUCUAGCUUCAAUUUUCCGGUGAACUUCUUUUGACUUUAAAUCUUACUUUUUCUUCUUCUUUUUGGCAAAAUAACUUAUUUGGCACAAAAACAAAAGUCGUUUUAACUUUUUUUUUCACCAUUUUUUAGCAUUUAAACUUGCAUUUUUUUGUUAAAUCACUCCAAAAUGAAUGGAAAAGUUAACAUUUUUAACUUUGCUGAUGUUUCGUACAUGUGGAUAACACAUCAACAUUUAAUAAAUCUUAAAAAAAUUAUAAAAACUAUUUUUAAAAUUUAAAAUAUUAAUAUUAUAAAAAAAUAUAAAUAUUUUUAAAAAUUAAUUAAAUGCUGAUGGGUCAUCUACGUAGCAAUCCAUAUGUAUGUCAUGUCAACAAAGUUAACAAAUAUUAAUAUUUUCAUCCAUUUUAGGAUGAUUUAACAAAAUAUAUAAAUUUAAAGACUAAAGAUGCGAAAAUAAUUAUAAGACCAAAAUGACUUUUUUUUUUAAUUGAAGGACGAAAUAAAUGAUUAUGUAAAGUUGUGAAUAUUAAUAUUACCAUAACAAUCAUAAUUCGCUUAUGGUUUAUUCAUUUUUAGGGUUUUCCUUACUAGGAGUCUAGGAUACUUGAAGGCAGAUAUUAUUAUUAUUAUUAUUAUUAUUAUUAUUAUUAAAUUUAAACAUAUUUUUUUAAUUAAGGAACAAUAAUUUGGUCCGGGUCGGUCCUUGGACAGUAUUGUAAUUUCCCAAGUUAUUAACAUUUGUUUAGGGUUUCUCAUAGUUAAGAAUUAAGUGGGCUAAUUUCCCAACUUAGAUUUGAUGAUACGAUUAAAAAAUAGGAAAUAUCAAAAUAUGAUCAUAUGAAUUAUUAAUACUAGUUUUUUUUUAUCUGAGUAAAUAGAUAAUUACUUGAAUCAAUUUAAUAAAAAUUAAUAUACUAAAAAAUACAAUUCCAUCAUUUUAAUAGUUUAUAUAUUUAUAAUUUUUAAAGAAUUAAAUUAAUAUUUUAUCAUUUUAGGGAGUUAAAAUUUAAUUUUACUAUUAUUAAUUUAAAAUUUUAUAAAUUAUAUGUACAUACCCAAUUUUGCCAAACCCAAAUACAUUUCAAACCCUUACUAACCCAAGUCUGUUUACAAUAUUUUCAGCCCAAUUAGCCUAACCCAAGUACUACUAGCCCAAUACCCUAAAUUAACCUAGCCCAGCAGCCCAAAACAAAUUAGCAGAGAGGAAACCCUAAUUCCACUUGCCUCCUUACUUGCGCCGCACGCUCUUCUGCCCUUGGCUACCACGCCCCACUUUCUUCUGACACCAGCACUGGCCACCUGCUCCACCAUGCCUCUGCCACCGCCGUUCGCCCAUACCCUGCAAAAUGAAACAAAUGCCAAGACAGAAGCAGACAGCACAAGCAGUAACAGAGAAUAAAACAAACAAUACUUUAAUAUGGGAAUCGGCUAUAAAGCCGAAAUGGAAAAUCUGUAAAAGGGGGGAUUUUUGCUAUGAAAACAAAGAUUUUCUUUCAAUUUUAACAGAUUGAAUACAAGAACCAUUCGAAAAUACAUAUACAAUCAGGGGCUCUAACACCAAAUCGGAGAAUCAAAUCUAAAACCUAAGGUGACUUUUCUUUCAUUUUUUCUUUACUAUUUUGAGUUUGUUUUUUACACAAAAAUACUAAAAAAAAUAACAAAACACAUAAAAACAUAUAUAUUAUUAAGCAAAAAAAAAGAAAAGAAAAUUUACCUUUUCCGGCCACCGUGCACGGUGGCCGACGCCGACGAGUCUCCGGUAACCGUCCGGCGACCGGACCCCUGGCCGGAGUCCCACCGAAAAUCGCCCUCUCCCUCUCCCUCUCCCUUUCUUUUCUUUUUUUUCCUUUCCCCAUCCCCAAAUGAAUUUUUUUUUAAUUUUUAACUUAUAUAGGGGACCAAAACGUCCCCCCCUUUAAUAAAUAAAACGACGUCGUUUUGGACGCGGGUCGGGUCGACCCAACCCGCACCAGGGCAGGAUCCGCGUGUUUCUUAGCGGAAGGGAAAUUUGCGUGCUCGGCCUUUCCGCUUUUCUGAGAUUUCACAAUUACGUUUUUUAUGUUUUGUAAUUCGGCCCUAGAAUUUUUCAUCGUUUUCAAUCUGGUCUCCGUGCUGCGCAACGUUUAGAUAGUUGGGAUUAUUUUCAAUUUUGGUCCCUCCAGGUUGCGCGUGCCUCACAUUUUGAUCCCUCCUCUUUGUUUCCUUUUUAAAUUGACCCCACAACAUUGUUUUUAAUUUAAUUUUAGUCCUUUUUCGUUAUUUUUAUUUCCUUAUUAAAUACUCUUAUUAUUUUUAUAUUAUUAAUUUUAUUAUGUAUUAGUUUAUGUUUUAUUAUACAAUUAUAUAUUUAUAAUAUGUAUACACGCUUAAUAUAUUUGUAUAUACUUAUAUAAUAUUAGUACUAAAAGUUUUUAUUUUAAUAUGUAUAUAUUACCUAAAUGUUUAAAAUUAUAUAUGUACGUAUAUUCUUCAUUAUGUUCUUAAUACUAUACUUUACAUAUAUCGUACAUUUUUGUUUCAAGUUUGCUUUCAUGUAUUGUUUAGUCAAAAUUGUUUUAUUACUCAUUUUAAAAUUGUUUCACAUACUUUGCUUUAAACAUUAUAUCUCUUUCAUAUUAUGCACGUCAUUUUUAACUCUAUAUUGUAUAUCACAAUCUCAUAUAUUAUGUAUGUACUUCUCAUAUUAUUAGUUAUGUAUAUAUUCUUUACAUUAUCUUAUGUACAUAUAUUUUUCAUAUUAUAUUAUAUACCUAUCCUUUUGAUACCAUGUUGUAUAUAUUUUCAAUACUAUAUUACAAAAAUUUUUACCAUAUUAUGUAUGUUAUGUAUAUACGUUUUAAUGUUUUUGUAUUAUCUUAUAUGUAUAUUUUAAUAACUAUAUGAGGUAUGUAUUUUUAACACCGUAUUAUGUACAUAACUUUCAACAUCAUUGUAUACACACUUUUUAAUACUAUGUUAUUUAUACGUUUUUAUAGGUAUCGUGUACAUGCUCUAAAUACCAUCAUGUAUAUAGUUUUUUAUUGUUACUAUUAUGUAUACAUAUAUAUAGUAUCAUUAAUAGUUCUAAUAUCAUGCUCCCAUCACUUUGCUAACUAUUAUUAUAUGUUUGUAUAUAUUAAUUCUUAUUUCGCGUUUAAUACUAUUGUUAACAUAUUUAAUAUCGCAUAUAUGGCCAUUGUUUUAAUAUUCUCGUCGUAUUUAUCAUUUAUUUCAACAUAUUUCUAGCCCUUCCAUUUGUUCACUUUUAUUUCAUAUCAAUUUUGCUUGGCAUUUCUUCGAAAAUCUUAUUCUCGUUUUCUAAUUAAUUUCAAUAAUCGAGGCAACAUAUCGACUUAACAUUAAGUCAUCGAGUUCAUCGCUAUGUUGGGUGAACGUCAAUUGACACGUGUUAAAGCGAUAUACCCUUCUCAAAAAACGGAAUAAACUAAAAUUUCUCGUUUUUUAAUCGGAUCACGACUAAAUUUUACAUUGAACCCGAAUUUUUAAAAAUCAAGACAACCUGUGUUUAUGAGAUACCAAUUUUUGGGCGUCGCGAGGGUGCUAAUACCUUCCUCGCGUGUAACCGACUCCCGAACCUUAAUUUUUCUCUGGCUUUUAACGUAGACCUAAACUCAGUCUUUUUCUCGUUUUUAAAGAAAAAAGAAAUUUAUUAGGUGUUCGAUCACACCUAGGAAAAAGGAUCGGUGGCGACUCCCCCUUUUAUUUCAAAAUCGAACUUCAGUUUCCAAACUUUUUCACUAGAUCGCCACAAUUAGCGACCCCGAAACCAAUUUUUACGUCGCUACAUUAUAAAUGAGACUAAAUAGAAAAUUUUCUAUUUUAAGAAGGCUCAAAGACCUUGCCAGCCUCCUUGACUUCACCAUUGAAAUCUAGAAUAUACUCCUCACUAUGCUUUGGAAAAUUAAAGAUUUGAAAUUAUAUUAUUGUGUAAUAGAUAUAAUUAAUUUUUAAAUAUAUAAAUAAAGUUAAAGUUAAAAUUAAAUCACUGUGAUAAAUUGUAUAGAAUAUAGAUGAUUUAAGACAUGAUGCAAAUAAAACAUAGUUAAAUAAUUAAUAUAUAGCAUGCCAUAAUAAUAAAGGUGAAUCUAGAGGGUUCACAGGGCUUGAUUCUCCUAAAAUAGAAAAUUAUUAUUUAGAUUUUUUUAAAAAAUUUAAAAUUUUAAAUUAAUAAAAAUAAAAUUGUACUUUGAUUUCCCUAAAAUUAUAAAUUUUUUAUUCAAUCCUUUUAAAAAUUAUAAAGAUAUAAACUAUUAAAAAUUAAAUUUUCAUUUGGCCCCCUAAAAAAAUAUUCUGGCUUCGCCCCUGCAUGAUAAUAAUAUUAAUACAACACAAAUACACAAAAAAAUCAAAAUCUAUACAUAACAAUUAUUUACUUGUAUAAUUUUAUAAUAUUUUGAAUACAAAGAAAUAACACAAACAAUUUUCUCUAAAUUGAAUCACUCAAAUAAAAUAUUUUAAAUAUCUCAUGAUUUUAAAAUAUACUAUAAGGAUAAUUUUUUAAAAAUAAUUUAUUAUGAUAAAUCAUAUAAAUUAAAUAAAGAAACAAUACUAAUCCAACAUAAAAGAAAUGUAAUAAUAAUAUCAUAAAAAAUAUGUUCUUAGUUAAUGAUUUAGUCUGUACUUUGAGAAUUAGAGAAAACUCGAGUUCGAGAUUCAAUUAUAUAUGAGAAAAGUAUUAACAACCUCACAAUAACUUAAUACAUGUUGUUUUAAAAUUUUGAACCCAGUAUUUAAAUAUGAUCCCGUAAAAUUUAAGAAUGCAUGAAAUUUAUUAAUUAAGUGAAUUUGAUUUUGGAAAUAAACAAAAUACUCAAUUUAAUUUUAUUAUAUUUUUUAAAAUUUACUCACAUUAUAACAUUAAGAACAACAAAUGAGAGCGUAUCCAGUAAUUUUGGCAACAAUCUCUUUAAUUUUCGUAAUGCUAAAAUAUUACCUUUUUUUUUAAAAUUAAAUCGAUGUAAAGAAAUUCAUAGGUGCAUUUUCAUAUAAAUAAUUGAAUUAUUCAAAAUUACAUGCAUUUAGAGAUAAAUAUUUUACCCAGCACUACGCUUGUUCGACUCGUAAAAGGCAAAAAUUAGGAUUCAAAAUUAAAUUAUAAUUUUUAUGAUAAUAAAAAUUACUUAGGACAUCAUGUUCUCAAAAACUCAAACCUUUAUCAACAUAGAAUUGAAUCGAAUAUCGUUUUCAUCUUCCCAAGUUUCUAUACAUAAACUAUGAACACGGAAUUAAACAAUACAAAAAUGGUAUUCUUCUUCCAUUGACAUUUGAUAUCAGCUUCAGAAAAGGCAAAAGACAAGAAUAAAGAGAUAAAACAAAAGAUUAAAUCAAUCCUAUAUCCUUGACUGACAUAAUUUACCUUAAAAACUCUAUACUUUAACCAAUCCCACCUAUAUGAUUUUUCUGUUUUCCUAUACAUAACUUAAAGCUUACUUGGAACCAAGUCAUUGUAUUGUAUUUCAUGUAAUUUUUUGAAGCAGAUCCUCAUCUCCUCCAUCUGCAUUGAAGGAAUAGAUGUCGACCGGGGCCACCGUGCAACCCAUGGCAUUCUGCUUGGUUCUUUUAUUACAAAAGGAGCCUCGGUGUUUGUCUAGAUAGAUUACAAUCACGGUGAUAUCGUCGUGAAAAUGGCGCCUUAUCCCCUUUUUUAUUUUCUUGAUGUCACUGUAUCUCAUCUCCCUUUUCUUUGCAACUUCUUGAAGUACAGCUCUUACCAAUCUCCUGGCAAUACCCUGCAAGCAUUCAAGCAAACAAAUAUCAAUAAUGAAAUGCAUUGCAUUUCCAUAGGUUUCAUUAGGUUAAUGGAAGAACACGAAUACUCACGGCUCUCGGGUUUUUGAAAACGAUGUUUACAGCAGCUUCAUCACUCAACUGCUCCCAUAGGCCGUCUGAUGCAAAGAUGAGGAAUUGAUCCUGUGGCUUAAGCUUUCUAAUAAGGAUCGUUCUGCUGUAAUAACCGGCCUUUUAAGAGGAACAGGGUUUCCGAACUGCUGGAAGAUCGGAUCUCUAUAAAACUCAGGUUUCUUCAGGUAAACAUCACCUAUAGAUCUUGACACCUGAAAUAAGAAAAACAAAAAUGGCUUAGACCAGCAUGAUCACUCACAUGCUCAAAGAUCAUGUAUUAAUCAAUCAUCUCCAGUUCUACAAUCCAAUGUAAGAUAAAAGCUAAUGCAUCUUAUUCUCUCGAUUCGUGAAUGGAUCGAAGUAAAAAGCUCAACUUGCCUACCAAAGUAAAGGGGAACAACAUCACAAAAAGAGAAGAAAAACAUAAAAACGAGAGAGCAUCGAUUCCUUGCAGUUACAUAAGCCUAGCUUUAUGCUUCAGGGGCCUGCAUUUGUCCAUCUCAUGCAUAUAAGGCAUACUAUAUGGAAAAUAGCAGCAUGAAACAGUACUGGAAAUCAGACCAAAAUAUUCUUGGAAAAGUCGAAAAACUCAGAAUUAUAACCAUUUUUUAGAAUGAACUUCCAUUCUAAUGCACAAUGUAUACAUCCAUAAUUAUACCUCUCCAUCAAGCAAAAAGAAACAAAAUGGUUGCAAGCAAUGCCUACGAAGAGGAAGUUAAUUGGCAACUAAUUCUAGAAUCAACAUAUUGAUCAUUUCUCAAGCAGACUAGUUUUGAACUAAACGAUUAUAAAUCAACUUGUCAAUAAAAUUGUACCUGGAUUAUGCCCUUAAUCUUCCAAACUCCGCGGGUGUAAACGACUAUAUGUGAGUCAUCUGGAUGAAGUUCCUCGACCUCCUUUCGAACUUCCUCGACUCCAACAUUAUGAUCAGUUGACAACCUCUCUGCCACUACUGUGUUUUCCUUAUCCCCCGAAGCUUUCCUGCCAAGAACAGCUCUCGAGUCACCGAGAUUCGCCACGUAUAACACAUCAUUCGAAAUUGCACCAACUAGACAGCAUGAUCCAACCGAAGCAAUUUGAGGCCUCACGGACAAUGAUCGCUUCACCAAACGCAAAAACUCCUCUUCAGUGGCAUUGAAUGCCUUCUUUAUCACAUCUGCAGAUAAUCCCCCUUGUUCUGUAGCAAAUUCUACAAUGAAUAAAGAAAAAAAAAUUUAAGGGUCUCCAUCAAUCUUUUUUAGAAUCCAAGUGCAUGCUUAUCACUGAAAAGUGUGCAAAACAAAGAAAAAUAAAUGACCUGAAAAAUGCCAAAACUUGAACUACACUUACUAAUUAUUCCGAAAAAUUCAAGUCCAGACAACCCCAAGUAGAUACAAAUUUAGACAAAUAGUUCAUAUUCUCUUUUCCCAUCAAAACAUAGUGCUACAUGACUGUGGAGCGGGGCAAGAUAGAUAUUGUCAAAUUCAUUACUGUUCCAUUGCUGGCAUGAUCUGCCUCGACCCCACUCUGCUUCGCCAUAAAUGUUAAAACUUGAAUAUCAUUACUUUUAAUAUGCAUAAUCUAUCAAUACCUCACCUAAUAUAUACAUUUUUACUCGUUUUAAAAGUUAAAUAUAUAAGAAUAGAGCAAAUAUCAAAAUUAAGUGCCCCAUUGGUCCCUCUUUUACUGUUAAAAAUUAGAAAAAGAAAGUCUAUUUGGAGUCAUCAGUUCGAAAUCUAUCAAACUAAAUACAUAUUUGAUGAUUCCAUAGACAACUUAUGAUUUUCCUGACAAGGUCAUAUCUAUAUACAUACAUGAUCACAUGUUCAUUCAUGUCAUACAUACAUAGGAAUGUUGAAAUAAAGAGGGAAAAAGGGAAUUACUGUGGAGAAAAGGGAAGAGAUGUUUGUUAACAAAACGGGAAGCUUCCGGACCGCCAUGACCAUCGUAGACGCCAACGUAGGUAGCAAAAGGAGAGGUGAAGACUUGGCUUUGAUCUUCGAGACAGUUGUUAGCCUGCACGACGGCGAUGGAGAAAUCACCGGAAGCGUGGGGUUUAAGGUCAGCGUGCCACAUGAGAGCAUCCCCACCAGCUCUAACGCCAAGACAACGUUCGAGCGGCCUGGAAAGGGACCGUAACAUCAUCAUCAUCGUGUUUAAAAAAUAAUAAUAAUCCCUUUAUAGGGGAUUUGAUUAAAUGAAAACCUUUUCGAUGGUUUCAAUGGGGGGUUUCACUUUGGGGGAGAGGAAAAUGGAAAGAUAUUAAGAGGGAAAGAGAGAGUAGAGAGUGGGGUAAAGUGAAUGGAAAAGAAAUGCCGCGUAAAGAGAGGCAGAUGAUGAUGACCAACGACCCCCGAUGCUUGCUGUAAUUACUUCCCACUCUACGCGUUAACCACCCUUUUUCUUCUUUUUUGACUUUUAAACCCAAAUCCUUUUCUUUUAUUUUUAAUUUAUUGAAUGGAGACACUUAGGUCUAAUUUAAUAUUUCAAUUUUUAAAGAAUCGUAUCAGUGAUUGAAUUAUGUAUCUACUUAUUCUCGAUUUAAUCGGUUAGUUUAGCUCAAUUUAGGCCUGUUCAGAUUAUUCAACUUAAAAAUUUGUUCGAAAAGUGAGAUGAUUUAGGUAAAAAUAUAUGUUUAAAAAAUAAAUUUUAAUAAAAAAAUAAGGUAUAUUUUUUAAAUAGAUUGAGUCUUAAUAUUUUUUUGUUCAGGCUCAACUUGAUCUGGCUCAAAUUUGUAAAAAAAAAAAAUGUUGUUACUUUGUCAUUGUUUUACUGUCAUUUCGCUAUUAUAUUAUUACUAUUUUAUUGUUUUUGUUUAGAUAUUGUAUAAUUAUUUUUUUAUUGUUGAUUUGGCUACUAUUUUAGAACCAUUUGCUUACUAAGUUGCACUUAUAUCUUGGUGUUAGUUAAGUAUAAAUAUCUUUUAAAAAUUUGUUUUCAAUUUAUUGGGAAACAUUUAUUGCUCCAACUGACCUAUGGAUAGCUCUAGUUCAAUCCUUUUGCCCGAAUUGAUAUAUCAAUUGAUUUAUUGGUUCAACUAAUUCGAUUAGUUGAUUUUAUUUGAUUUGAUUCAAAAACACUAAGUGUUAUUUCAAGUUUAACUUAAUUUAUAUUUGUGUUGAUAGUUUAAAUUAUUUUAAUUUUAAAUCAUUCAAAUUCAACACUUAAUUUUUUGGGUCAGAUCGUUUUAGGACUAUUUCAUAUUAUAAUUUUAUAAAAAGGAAGUUGAACUGAAUAAUAUUUAAGUUUUUGAGUUGAAAUUCAAAUCAAUGUUAUUAAAUUGGGUCAUAAUUAAUAGGUGUACUAGAAUCUAAUUACAAAUAUAUAUCUAUAAGAUAAAACCAAAAAUAAAGGAUUAACAUCUGACCAAGUAUUGACAAUGCAUUGUUAUCCACAAAUUUAAUUAGAUACAAAACAAGAUAAACACUGUAAUGUGAAUUUCGUAUGUUAACUUAACGGUUAGGAUAUUCAUCGCUUCAAAUGUGAUUUGGGAUUGAGUCACAUUAUCUCUAAUAUGUCCUCUACCAAAGAAAAUGGAGGACUAAAGUUUGAAAUCUUAUUUAGUAUUUACAGCCAUGAUCAAUUUCUCUUUAUGAUCUCCACCCAUACAAUAAAUGUGAAAAGUGUAGCAGUACGAAUACCAUGUUUUUAUAGGGGCCGCCAUUCAAGAAUAUAUUACUUCCUCUGAACCUGACACUAAGGCAUGGAUAGCAACUUACAAUGUAUCAAAUUAAACACUAAAAUUAAACUCAUAUAUCAAAUUGAGAUUUAAAAAAAAACACUCAAAUACAAAAUUUGACAUUAAAAUCAAACGCAAGUACCGAAAAAUAUAUUAAUCCAUAUUCAUAAACCUUUUUCUUUGUUUUUGCACCCGUCAAAAUUCCAAGACUUACAUAUCUCUAAUUAAGAGCAUCAUCAUUUACAAAAAUUAAAAAAUUAAUCCCUCUACUUUAAUUUGUUAUAAUUUGUCCCACGUAAGUUAUAACAACCGAAAAGUUAAUCUAAUUAAGUAAUAUUGUUAAACCUUAUCAUUGAAUUGUUUGUUUGGAAACCAGCAAUUUAACAACUUAUAUGCAACAAAUUAACAAAACUCAUUUGUUCAAGUUCAUGUUUUGAAUAACACCUGGACUAAAUUUCCAAUUUUCAUAUGCUACAAUGACUAAAUUUUGACAAAUUAAAGUAGAGGGACCAACUUCUCAAUUUUCAUAAAGUAGGGGAUGAAAAUCAUAAUUAGACCAUGUAUAUGUUCUAUCGUGUGAGUUGGGGCCUGUUUUAUAGUAUACUUCUACAGUAAGGACAGUCCCCACACGUUCUGAGCCAAGGAUCUAAGCAAGCAAAGUGAAACCUGUGCCCACACGGCAGCUGAGUAAGCACAUCUCCUUCUCCGAAGCUUUCAAGGCAUAUACUGCAAUCUCUUGAUUCCCUUGAUGUCUUCCUUUCAACAUUGAUGUCUUGGCUGCGGAAAAUUUCCAGCGGCAAACGGUCCAGAGCCUCCUGAGUAAGUCCAGGAGGCUUCUUGUUUGUUUCUCGUAACAAUUCGAAUCUUUCUGCUUCAGAGGUUAAUGGGGAACCCCUAGCUGCCAACCCUGUAGAGAGUUCACUUAUGAUCCUAAAAUCAUCGCGCGUUACAUGCUCCCGGUGGGAAGCAUUAGGUGGAGCUCUAUUGCUUCGCCUGAAGAAAACAACAGGAAGAAACCGUAAUGAGAGGGAAAAGAAAAGAUGUACAAAAUGUUUAAAUAGCGGUUAAUGCAGGACCUAACAUAUAUGUGUCCAUUAUUGAAUGCCACGUGCAAGUAAAAUUCAGGAUCGAGUGGUCCACAUGCUUCUCUCAAGCAGUAGAUGGUAGUUAGGAAACGAGUAACACUAAUUCGCUGUGUACAUGAAGUGGUACCAAAAGUGGUCUGGAUAGUCAUAGUGGCUAAUGAUGUUACUACUUAGAACCUAUGUUACUCAGAGUCAGGCAUGAGUUUCAGAUAUGGAUAUGUAUCCAGUACAGGUAUAAUUACUUUUUCUAAGUUUUUCCAUAUAUUUAAAAGAUCCUUGGAGGUCAUAUCCUCGUAUUUGUGUGUCAGACACGAGUGUCAAAUGAAGAGUCCGAGCAACAUAGCUUAGAACCACUAAUAUUACCAUAGAAUAGGAAGCACCAGCAGUGGGACUGGACCAUAUUGAUAGUUAGCAAUGCGAGAACAACAGGCACUAAUGGGCAGAAAGCACCAAUAACAGCAGUGGGCCUGGAAAUUAAGGUACUACUGGUAGGUAAGGAGUGACGAAAGCAAUAUCAGCUUGAAUGUAUAAGCAGAAGUGGGACAGAAAUUUCAAGCAUAAAAACAAAAAUUCAAUCUAUUCAAGAAUAUAUACAUAUAGAGCGAGAGAGAGACUAAAUUCAACUUAAACAUUUUCAAGGAAAAAAAGAAAAAGCCUGCCGAAAUAUGAUGAUUAUGUUAGGCAAUUCCAUAGAAGAAAGUUCAAAUUCACUAGUGACAACCCACCCAACUGACCAGCUGAAAAGUCCAUGGUAAGUUGGAAAAUAGUUUGGACCGAGUGAAAUUAGUCUCAACAUUAACUGGCUACAACCCCUAACAGCUCUACCAUAUGAUACGGUAUCUCUAUUCUUACUGCUAAACCAAGUCAGACUCCUAGUACCCCUAAUACAAGACUACAUAUUUAUCAUUUGGAUUCACUAAUAAUAAGGUAGCACAAUGAACUGCAAGGCACUGAUUCUUCCUACAGGUUACGAUGCAAAUUGCUCAUAUGAUAGACACUUCUUUUGAUCAUAUUGCACCCUCAAUAGAUCCACAAAAUCAAAGUUCAAGAGCAAAAUCAUUCUGAAUUUAGGUAAAACUUUCACAGACACAGAGCUCCACAUGACUUGUCUAUCCUAUCAUCAAACUUCAGAAAUAAGUAAUAGAGAAGAGAUGUGCUGUGCUGUGCUGUCUUUAAAAAAUGAAAUUUGUGACAGACCAAGAAUAGUGGGAUAAAUUUGGUCCAACUUGAGUAGCAAAACAAAUUGAGUGCCACAGGCAAGUUCACCAUCAAUGAUAAAAGUGGCUUCCAAUUGGUGUCAAAGAUCAUGCAGAUAAGAAAGAACAUGAUUCAAUAGCUAUUAUAAUUUACUUGUUCUUGCAGUUUGACCAGUAAUAAUGCUGUACAUAAUACAUGGACAAGAAAUGCAAAUACUAAAAGUUGCAAAUUUGCAGAGAGCUCUAGGUAACCUGUUUGCAGAAACAGACACGCCUCUUAGUCUUUCAACAAGCCUUGCUCUUGCAAGCAGCACAGCUCCAGGAAGCCUCUCAUUUGCUCUCAAACUUUGCCUGCUUGAACUGCUUACACCAUCUGCAUUUAAUCCAUAGCUCGAACUGAGCUCACCAGUACCUUCAUCAAACCCUUCUCUAGCAAGCCUCUCACUUGAUCUCAAACUUUGCCUUCUUGCAUUGCUUACACCGACUGCAUUUAACCCAUUGCUCGAUACAAGCUCGCUGGUACCUUCAUCAAACCGCACUGAUGAACGCUCCUGAAAAAGUAAUAUCCAAAUAUAAGCGAUUCAGGCAAGGAGAAAUAAAUUACAUAGACUAGGUAAUAAUAUCAAACUUCCUUGUUUAUUCUUGUAUAUGUGGCAAAAUCUUACUGCAAGUGAGCUUAGGCUUUGCUUGGUACCAAAGAUGGAAAGGAUGAACAUGGAAAAUUUGUUCAUCAAAUGUUAAGAUUCAUAUCCACCUUAUUACUUUGUAACUUAACCAUCAGAUAAACAAUUUUCCAAUUCACUCCUUUCCGUCGUUCAUAACAAGCAGAGCCUUAGGGUUUAGAAAAAUUGUCAAGAAAAUACCUAUUCUUCAGUAAUUUCACUGAUAAAUUUAGCUUAAAACUAAUAAUUUUCAGAGCAAAGUUCAGUAUUGAAGCAUAAAACAGACAACGAAUAAAGUACCAAUAAAUUGGUUGAAAAUCCAAUUCUUAAAUUAAAAAUAAAAAAAUAAAUAUAUUUUCCCUUCCAAAAAUAAUACUUAAUUCACCCCCAUUUUUCCUUUAAGUUCUCUUUUUUCUCAGCAAUAAAAUAAAAACAAAUACCUAACAAGAAAUAAAUAAUUUGAAAAAAAAAAGGUAAAAGAGAAAUUGAGCGCACAGAGAGCGAGGAAGCACGGGAGCUGAAGUGGCGCACGUGGGGAGACCGGCGGAGGGAAUCACCGCCGUCCAAAUCAUGCCUCUGAUUGUGAUGACUGAGAUGAUUCCGGCGAUGGUAAUUCCGUUCAAUUGAGGACCCAAUCCCUGAAUCCGGAUCGGGUCGACCCACUCUUGACCUUCGUGUGUAGAAUAACUCCGAAGCGCUUGUCAUCCAACUAAAACCCCCAAAUGGUGUUUUGAUCUGAUCUUACCAAUUAAAAUUUAUUUUUAAUUUCUCCAAAAAAAAUUUAAAUAAACAUGCAAAUUGUAAUUUGGAUUAAGAAAUAAAGGAAGAGAAGCUGAUGAACCCUACGAAGAAACGCGGGAGAAAUUCCUGCGAAUGAAAAUCGAUAGCCUUAGCUUCAAAGGAAAUGAAUGGAAAGGGAUGUGCGUUUUUUUAACCCUAAAUGGUUUAAUUCCGGUUUUAGUCCCCCUCCUAAGCUAAAAUGUAAUAUUUAAUCUUAUAUUUUAAUUUUAUAUACUUUCGUCUUUGAUAUUAAAGAAUAAUAUUUGAUACACCGCAAAUACAUUAUCAUCGAACAAUAACAUGAUACUUGAGUAUAAACAAAAUUAGUGAAAGAAUUAUCAAUAAAUAUUAACAAUUUUAUUUAGUUUUUUUUUUAUUUUUAAAUUUCACAUUUCGAAUUUUAGAUAUAUUUAAAUAAAAUUAUUAAUAUUUAUUUAUAAGUCAUUCAUUAUUUUUUAUUUCAUUAGCAUUGAGGUGUCGUGUUAUUAUUCAUUAAUGGUUGACGAUUUAUUUUUAUUAAUUUUUAUCAUUAUAACGAUGAUGUGAAAUCUUUUAUUGACAAUUUUGUUAUGGUCAAGGUAGCCAUAAUAUAUGUUUUUUAAUACAAAUUCUGGAUAAUAAUUAGUAAUAUUAAGAAAGUAAAAAAAUUAAAUCAUGUUAAAUUAAUCGAGGUUUAAGGGUGUAAAAGCUCUUCAAUUUUUUCAAAAAAGCAAUUAAGUCUUUACUUUUUUCACUCAAUUGAGUACUUUAACUUUUAAAAUGCAUAAAAAAGGACCUUCAAACUUUUUCAAAAAAAAUUAAGCCCCUACUUUUUUUUACACUCAAUUUGGCACUUGAACUUUCAAAAUAUAUAUAAAAAAAAACCUUCAAGCUUUUUCAAAAAAAGCAAUUAAGCCCAUACUUUUUUUUUACUCAGUUGAUUGGGUAAUUAAAUUGUCAAAAUGCAUAAAAAAUAACAUUUGAUUGUUAACUUUAACAGUUAACCGUUAAAAUUAACUGCCCCUAAUUUUUUUCAAUUAAAAUCAUCCCGUGUCACAACCACAACAUGACAUAUGACAAAACAAUUAUAAAAAAUAAAAAUCAAUACAAGUUAUAAAAAGUAUUAAACUUUAAUAAAAAUAUAAAAUUUAUUAAAAUUGUAAAAUUUUAUAAAAAUCAUAAAUAAUUAUAAAAUGUAUCAAAAAGGCCCUUUAACCAUCAAUUUUUACCGUUGACUGUUAAAGUUAACGACCCCCAAUUUUUUUCUAAUUAAAGUCAUCACGUAUCGUAAUACAGUGUGGCAUGUGGCAAAAAUGAUAAAAAAAAAUAAAGAACAAUUAAAGUUAUAGAAAAAUUAUAAAAUGCUUGUUUAAAAAUUAUAAAAUACUUCUUUUGGUACGAUAAUUUUUAUAUUUUUUUAUAAAUUUUAUAUUUCUUUACAUUUUUUUAUAAUUUUCUUACAAUUUUUAUAAUUGUUUAUGAUUUUUAUAAUUUUUUUUCUAAUUUUUAAUAUUUUUAUAUUUUUAUUAAAAUUUAAUGAUUUUUUAUAAAUUUUAUUUAUUUUUAAUUUUUAUCAUUGUUUUGCCACAUUUCACGCCAUGGUUGUGACACAAGAUAACUUUAACUGAAAAAAUUAGGGUCAGUUAACUUUAACGGUUUGAUUAUUAAAUUUAACAAUCAAAGGGUCUUUUUUUUAUGCCUUUUGGCAGUUCAAAUACCCAAUUUAGUGUAAAAAAAAUAAAGGUUUAAUUGAUUCUUUUUUUAAAAAAAAAGUUUGAGAGUCUUUUUUGUGCAUUUUGACAAUUCAAGUACCUAAUUGAGUAAAAAAAAAGAACAAGGGUUAAUUAAUUUUCUUGAAAAAAUCUUGAAGAUUUUUUACACCCUUAACCCAUUAAUCAACCAACUGUGUCAUUGAAAUUUGAUGAUUUGGGAAAAUAUCUUGUGAAUAUCAAUUAGAGAAAUUAAAUCUGAAUUUCAAUAUAUUAGAGGGACUAAACCCAGAAAUUUACCGUGAAAAAGAAAAGGUAUAUCUUUAUGUGUUAGUUGAAGGACUAGUAUUUAGAUGUAGCCACGCGUUAAACAAAGUGUUCCAUUACAUCAACAUAGAAUUUAUUUUCCUUCAAUAAGAUUUUUUGCGUUGACUGUUGACCAUGGAAAAACUAUAAAUCAAAUUAUUAAUUGAAAAUGAUAUAUAUUCCUUCAAUGAGAAUCUUUUUAUUACCUUAAGUCGAGAAUUUGAUUCUCACCUUGUAUAUGGAGUAGUUUUAGAACUCGUAACUUAAUAUCUACCUCUUAAUAGACCUACAGAAUAGAAAAGAUUAGUUACUAUCUAACUUCAAUAAAUACAUUGAAAAAUAAAAAAAAUCGAUAUUAAAUGAAAUAGACAUAAUAGAUUUCUAAAGUCAACUUUGGUCAAUAUAAAUAGAAAAACUAAAUGAAAUUUGGUUUAGGUAAAUUUUGGGUUCAGAUUAAAUUUAAAAUUUAGUUAAUUUUUAUUUAAGUUAAUUAAGUUUGAUUGUAAUUUUUGAAGGUUUGGUGAUUGGGAUUUAGAUUAUUUCGGGUUAUAAUUACUUUGAGUUUAAGACAUUUUAAGUUAUUUAUUCGGGUCAUGUCUAAUUAUUUAUUUGAAUUGUUUCAAGUUUGGAUUAAUUUGGGUCGAUUUCAUAUUUAGGUUAGACAAAUCAAUUUUCAAGAUAUGAACUAGAGUUGUCUAUAAGCCAAGUCACCUAGUCUGGCCCGAAGGCUCGUCGGCAAAUAGGAGGAUUUUAACAAAAAAAUAUAUGUCCAAAAAUGAGAUUGGACAAAAAAUAAGGCUCGUUUUAAAAAUGGGUCGAGCCUCGGGUAAGGUAUUUUUUUACCCUGGCCUGACCUAGAUUUUACAAUAAAAAAAUUGUUGUUUUGCUACCAUUUCACUAUUAUGUUGUUUCAAUUUGUUGAAAAAUAUUUAUUUUAAUAUUUUUUGUGUAUUAUAUUUUUAAUUUUUUUUUAUAUAAAAAAAUUAAUAGUGUCAGACCAUACCCGGGUUUUAGUAUUUUUAUCCAAGCCAGGCUUGGACAAAAAUUUAAGCUCAUUUUUUUGGGCCAAAUUGGGCCCAAAAAUUUAUCAGGACCAACCUAAUUCGACCAUGGACAAGUUUAUAAAAUAGCUAUUUAUAUAUAAAAAAAAAAUUGUCCAUGAGCUAUUUACUAUUUAGAGUAUUUAAAUAUGUCGAUUGAGAUUUAAUUCUUUUUAUUUUGAGAGGUGGAAUAAAAUAAUUCAAUUAAAGUGUAAUGAUGAUAUACCUAUAAUGCAUUAUAUGUCCCAUUCUUCUAUCUUUUUAGGGAGUCAAUGAUUAUUUAUAGCUAUUAUCUUUAUAUCAAAAAAACAAUUCGACUCAAUAAUUAACUACUUUUGCUAGAUUGAUUUUUGAUUAGAUUAAUAUGUUUUUAGUCAAUUUAAAUUUUAAAAAUUUUCAAAUUAUUUCAAUUUCGAUUAGUUUUAACUUUAGAUCAAUUCUUAUUCAAUUAUAUUUUAGACUCAGAAUUAAAUGGAUCGAAUUAUCAGAUUUAAUGAUUUGUAUGUAAAAUUUUAUUUAAAAUAUUUUAAAUACCACUCUAACACAAUUACAUAAUUCAUAGAUUAUAUAAUUUGAAAUUAUCAUUACACACCACCAUUGAUAAUUUCAGCUUGUAAGUCCUAAUAUUUUAUUCAAAUUUCAUAAAAACCCUUCCUUAUCUCCAUGACUAAUUUUGUUUGAUCAUCACAUAUUUGCAUGGGAAUAGUGGUCAUCAUGAACCGAAGACUCCGGUUUAUCAACACCGUCGACGCUUCGAACCCAGAAACUUGAACCGAAAGAAGCCGCCCGGUCCGGAACGUCAUCCAUCACCCAUUCAUGGCCUUUCGGGAAAUAUAUCCCACUCUUUGGAUGUGGAACCCAACUCGAUGAACUUUUUAUAUCGUCGUUACUCUUGCACUUCUUAUUGAUCUCCCGAUCUGCGCCUGCAAUUUUGCUCAAUGGUCGCUCAACGCGUUUUGCUUCCCUACACCCGAAUAAAGUUUCCAAAAGUCAAACAUAUUUAUUAAGUUCAUAAUGAUUUGCCUCUAAAUUUUGUACUUUUGUAUGGUUUUUUUUUGGUAAAAAUUUUAAUUUUUGGCUUUUCUAAAUACAAAACAAAUUUCAAAUUUCAUUUUUGACCAAACAAAAACAUCUCAAAAUCAUGGCUCAAACUUUAAAACGAUCCCUAAAUUUUAAAAUGUUCUAAUUGAAUCUUUAAAAAUAAAGUAUACCUAAAACACGUUUUAAAUAUGCUCUACAUCAAACAUAAACUAACAUUUAACACCCAGAUAGACAGCGAGAGUGACAAAAAAAACUUGGUUAAUACGAUACUAAUAUUUUUAGGACCCAAUUAAACCAUUUUAAAAUUUAAUGACUAAUUUAAAAUUCAUUCUAUAGAUUAAGAAAAUCUGUUGUAAUCAACCCAAAUAAUAACGACAACAUUACGUACCUUAGCAUCAAAAUCUUGGUUUUGGUAAAAGCAGCUCUUCCCAUGCAAUGCAGCUCUUUAAAACCCCUCAAAAAAGGACUCCAAUGCAAUUAUCUAGGACUUGAUCGUUUGUUUUAUAGAAUGCUUUCGAAAGUGCAGUUUUUGUACUUCAAAUUGUAUCCGAACGAAUGAAUAAAGGUUUGACGAAUAAGUUCGAUUGUGAAGGUCCUAAGAAAAUUAAAAUUUUAGAAUAUUAUAUUUCGGAAUUUCGUCUUUUUAUUUUAAGAAAUUUAAUCAUUUUAUAUUUUUCGGAUUUAAGUAUACAGGUCCAAUUAUUAUUAAAAGUGAUUCGACUAAAAAAUUAAAAAAUAUUUCGAAUUUCAAGUUAAUUGAAUUGAGUUAUUCGAUUUUUUCGAGUCAACUAGAAUAAGUAAUUCGAGUUCGAGUCGAGUUGAAUUUUACAAUUCGAAUAACAGAUUAAUGUGAAUACCCAUUUGAUCCCUGUCAAUUUUAAAAAUAGGUAAAUUUAUCUCUCAACAAAGUUUACAAAAAAAAAUCAAAAUAAUUUUCAAAAAAUUUUAAAUAUAAUUUUUAAAAUUCAGAAUAUUUAUAAAAUAUCAAAAUUGAUAUUUAAAAAAUUUAUAAAAAUUCUAAAUAUAAAAAAAAACUUAAUUUUUUUAAAAAUAAUAAUUUUUGGAAAAUUUAACUAUUUAAGUUUAUCAUACUAAAAUAUCUUCUUCUUUUUUUUCUUAUUAUGCUUUGAAAGAAUUUUCAAAUUUAUAUGUUCUAACAUUGAAUUAGUUAUAUUGUAACAAUAUUUUAAUUUGACAUUUUUUUUUAAUUUCACUUGAUUUGGAAAAUAUUCAAAUCGAGUUAGAAUGAUAAAAUGGGACUCGUCAACUCGAUUAACUCAAAAGUUUUUCACUUGAUUCGAUCGAAUGCUCACCCCAAACUAAUAUCAUAAAAAUUCUUUUGUUAAAUUUAGAUUCGUUACAAUAUUAAUUUUUUUAUUUUAUGACUAUCAAAUUUGUUUUUUUUUUCUUUUCAUUUCAAGGUGUCACAGUAAUGAAUUUAAUAGAAUAAUUUUAACAAUAUUAACAAUUAAUUUUUUUUUGACAUUUAAAAAAUAAAGAAACUAAAUUCUUAAAAAAAAAACCAAAUUUACGAAGAAUCAAAUUGGAAAAUAAAGAGAUAAAUAUAUAUUUUUUGGUGCUUAUGUUUAUCUUUGAUUUUAAUUUUGCUAUUUAUAUAUUUUUUUUUCAAAUUGGUACUUAUGUUGUUUUUAAAUUACACAAAAUGGUAUCAAAUUUAUUAUCUGACGUAUGGAAUGAUGAUGUCAUAAUAACAUUUGGGAAAUUAUAAAAAUUUAUAAAAAAUAUGUAUUAAAAAUUCAAAAUAUAAAAAAUUAUAAUGUUUGAUACCAAAUAAAAAUAACAUAAAAAUCAAUUUUUUUUAUAUAUUUUCAUAUUUUUAUAAAAAGAGUAUCAUUUUUUUAUGAAAAUAUAAAAUCAAUUAUUUUUAAUAAAAAUAACUUUUUUAUAAAUUUUAUUAAAAAUUUAUAUCAAAAUCAUGAAAAUAUUCAUCAAGUCACAAAAAAGAAUUACAAUUUCUUACCCGAAAUAUAUAUUUUAUAUUUCCAGAAUUUUUUAGAUUUUUUUUAUUUAAUUUUUGGAUAAUGACAUCAUCAUCAUCACAUAUUAAAUAAUUAUUGGACCACAAAAUAAAAGUUAGCAUCAUUUAACUUAGGUACCAUUCUGUGUAACAGUAGUCAAACGUGGGUACCAAUUUGAAAUAAAAAAAAGGACCAAAAUGAAUAUUAAGAUCAAAUACAUGUACUAAAGAAUAUAUUUAUUUUUUCAUUAAAAUAGUUUAAAUUAAAUUAUUAUUUUUUGAGAGAAGUCAAAAAUGAAAAUUUUCAUUUAAAAAGAAUUAAAAUAUUAAAUUUUAGGAGGGUCCAAGGAACCAAAGCCUCUAACUGCCGUUAGUUUGCCAUUGUCAUUAUCAAUUUACUCGCCCUGAGAGGAGUUUAGCGGCGAAGCUUGGGGAUAAUUUGUGGCCUUGACCCUCUUAAAUUUAAAUAAUUCAAUUUAAUCUCUUUCAGCCCAUUUAUUAAGGAGAGGUCAACUUCUUUAAGAAAAGUUUAUGAAGUAUGAUUCAUUAAAAGCUAGCGAACAUCCCAAUAAAUCGAUAUUAUUUCAAUUGAAUUUUUUAUCUCCCAAUUUUACGAAGAAUUAAUGGGUUCACAAAAUGAAUAUAUCUUAUUAGAUGUCUAAUAAGACAAAUCACAUACAUCGCAUCGCACUUGAUAUCAUAUACGACAUCGAAAAGCUAGUAUAUUACCACUUAAACUAAACACCUAUUUAUUAUGAAAUCUGUUGCUUCGAAUAAACGAGAAAUAACAAAUUUCUCCCGAAAAAAUCGGCCCCUAUCGUUUCCUCUUUUUCAAAAGUAAAUCUUAAUUCGCUCAGGUGAUUUGGAAUAUUGAGAUUUUUUUAGUGAAAAGAGUGGCAAGUUGGUGUGACACCUAAGGUCACUUUAACAUAUAGCUCUAAAUUCUAGAGACACUGUGAAUCGUUACUUCAGCAUAUGCCUCUUGUUUUUUUUCCUUCUUUCACCAGAAUAUAUUCAAUGCAAAGAACUUAUCUCUUACACAUUUGAUUGUUGGUUAAAUUCGAGUUUUAGUCCCUAUAUUAUACUUCCUUCCUGUUAUCGAUGUUAUACUUUAGUCUAAAUCCAUAAUAUCAACACAACUCCAAAUUCAUUAUAUCAUUUAAACAUUAAAAUUAUCUAUUUAACUUGUGAUUUAAAUAAAAAUUAAAUUAUGGUAUAACCACGAUGUGGAUAAAAAAUAAAAUUAUGUGUUAAUUAUAUUUGUAAAAGAAUGAAAUUUUAAUUAAAACGAUAAAGUUUAAAUUUACUUUAUAAUGCAAUGAUAUUUGAGUCAUUAUCCAAUUGAAUUAGUGCCUAAUAACUCGUAACACCAAUUUAAUUAAUUAUGCACAACAUUAAGUUUUAUUAUCUUUCUUUCUUUAAUAGAUUACAGUCAGUUACUUAAAAAAAUUACAGUUAAUUAUUAUUUUAUAAGGUAAACUAUCAAAAUAGUCAUUUUUGUUUCUCUCAUAUUACAUUUUGGUCACUUAUGUUUGAAAUGUUAAGUUUUAGUCACUUACAUUUAUCGUAUUAUAACAUUUUAGUCACCGAGCGUUUAUUGCCGUUAGCAAUAUAACAAUAAAGCUGAUGUGACACGUUAAAUCAUCAAUUCAAACGAAAAUUUUAAGUUAAAUUAUACAAUUGGUCCCUAUUUAUUUUGAGCAAUUUAUUUUUUUAUAUUCUUUGAAUUUUCUUUUUUCUUUUUUAUUUUCCGUUCUCUUCUGUUUCUCCCUCUAUUUUCUUCCAUUCCCUGUCUUUUUUAACGUAAAUUUUCUAUGUUUUUCAUUUCUUAAAAUUUAUCUAUUUUUUUUCUUUUAUGUACUUCUACGUUAAAAGAUAUGGAGAAGUGGUGAAAAUAGAGGGAGAAGUAG